UAAUACGGAGACCUCGAGCGUUACUCGGAUUCACUGGGCGUAAAGGGUGCGUAGGCGGUCGUGUGUGUCAGGUGUGAAAUCCCGGGGCUUAACCUCGGAACUGCGCCUGAAACUACACGACUAGAGUCUCGGAGAGGGUAGUGGAAUUUCGGGUGUAGCGGUGAAAUGCGUAGAUAUCCGAAGGAACACCAGUGGCGAAGGCGACUACCUGGACGAGAACUGACGCUGAGGCACGAAAGCGUGGGUGGCGAAAGGGAUUAGAUACCCCUGUAGUCCACGCCGUAAACGUUGCACACUAGGUCUUGGGGGGUCUACCCCCUCAGGGCCCUAGCUAACGCGUUAAGUGUGCCGCCUGAGGACUACGGCCGCAAGGCUA
rnacentral:rRNA from 1 species